UGGGGAAUAUUGGACAAUGGGCGAAAGCCUGAUCCAGCAAUGCCGCGUGAGUGAUGAAGGCCUUAGGGUUGUAAAGCUCUUUUACCAGGGAUGAUAAUGACAGUACCUGGAGAAUAAGCUCCGGCUAACUCCGUGCCAGCAGCCGCGGUAAUACGGAGGGAGCUAGCGUUGUUCGGAAUUACUGGGCGUAAAGCGCGCGUAGGCGGUUAUCCAAGUCAGGGGUGAAAUCCCGGAGCUCAACUCCGGAACUGCCCUUGAAACUAGGUGACUAGAAUAUUGGAGAGGUAAGUGGAAUUCCGAGUGUAGAGGUGAAAUUCGUAGAUAUUCGGAAGAACACCAGUGGCGAAGGCGACUUACUGGACAAUUAUUGACGCUGAGGUGCGAAAGCGUGGGGAGCAAACAGGAUUAGAUACCCCCGUAGUCC
rnacentral:rRNA from 1 species